rnacentral:lncRNA from 1 species
GUUUUGUAAAAUUUUUGUUUAUUGUUUGCUUAGUUUGGUGCAAUUCAUUUUACUUUUAAAACUACAAGUUUGUCUUUCUUUUGAUGAUUGUAUAAUUUGUUCGAUUGGUUUAACAUGGAUGCUGUAGAAUAAUGUUGUACUGUUAAUACUGUAUUAUUGGUUGUAGGUUUUCUUUUUUUCUUACAACAUUUGAUUUUUUAUGCAUAAUUUAUACAAAAUCUAACAAUUUUGAACAAUUAACCUGUAGCAUGAAAAUAAGUCCAGUGACCCAUACUUUUUAUUAUAUAUUGGAAAAAAGCAUGAUAAAAACUACAAAAUGACUAAUUAUUAAAAAUCUAUGGAUUUUAAUAAAGAACCCCCCUUUCUUUCAUUUACCUUUAAGUAAAUGCUAAAAUUUGCAAAUAGCUGCAGAACAAAAUAUCUCACUCAUUUAUGUUUGUAAGAAACAAAAGAUUGUAAGAAACACAAAACAAUAAACAACAGUUUGAUGCAUGAGCCA